CUAAGUUUAUUAUGGCUACCUUGCGUUAACCUCAAUGAGAGUAUCUAUAGUCUUGUUAUUAGUAAGUCUAGCCCGCUCAAGAAUAUCUGCAACAUAUUUCGACUGAGAAAGAAGGUAACCUCUAGGUGAGUAUGCUACCUCAAUACCUAGAAAAUAUCAAAGAUAACUCAAAUCCUUCAUUUCAAAUCGUCUAGCCAAC